ACCACGGUGGUGCAGAGGAGAGGAGAUGAAGGAGGAUAUAAAACUGCCUGACUGUAGAUGGAGGACGUUCGGAGGCGGGUGCAAUAAAUAGUCAGGGUGAGAUAAACCUACCUCUUGUAACACGCAGAUGUUAAAACCCAUUAAACACCGGGUACAAGUAUUGCUGGUGAGAGAAGCCAGACAUUUUGAGAACAGGCGUUAUCAGAUUUACUGUAGUGCUAUAAAAGCAAGCAUCCAUUUAAAAUCACAUUAUGUUGGUUUGAAAAACGUAUUCCAGAAAUACACAGCCCUACGGAGCAGGUUGUGUAUCUGCAGGAGGAGCAUGUGGUGGUGUGAGGACGAUGAACAGACAGCUAUCUCGGCGGUUGCUGACACAGGGAACUCGUUUUCACUUAUGUAAGAACUUCUUUCCACCAGAAAUGGGCCUUAUGAGUGUCGGUGUAACUGUGAAUUUAGGCCAGCUUCUUUAAAAACAGAAAUGAAUUGCACUUAGCUCUUGGUUGCUGUAGAUUGGGGCUACCCAGAGAAAUCUGUUGGGCUUUCUAGAGAAAUCUGCUGGGCUUGGCUGGCUUUGUCCCAGUCGUUCAGAGAUCAGCGUGGCCUCGCUGGGGAUCCUCUGCCCUGCCUGCUGCUGAAACUAAGGGUGUUUUGGCCCUGGCAGGAGCCGGCCUUUGAUUGUCUGUCUCGUUGGGCUCGUUGGAUGCAGGCAGCAGGAGGUGCCCUGCCAACACCUCCUCGUCCUCCUGGAGGUCCCAGGGGUUUAGCAGAGAGCUGUCACCUCUGUGUGAACGCUCCUUCCAUCGAGCUUCACUUUGGGGUGACUCUGGUGACCACAGGAAGCAGACUGCACGGAGCAGGGGCUUUACCUGGAUGCCAAACAUCUCCUGGUUCCCUGCUGUGUUCCAGUCGGGUUCCUCCACCCGUCCUGAGCAACAAAACAGGGCUGUCAGAAGGCACACGAGUGGCACCACGGAGCCUUGCUAAUGCCGCCACAGCCCGCGGCAGCUCUGCCCAACCUCAGCCCCUCUGCUUGGGGUUGGGCAGGGCGCUGAGGCACCCUCCCAGCUGGCUGGGGUGUGUGGCAGCAGGUGCCAGCCCAGCCCCGAGCUGCCCCGUGUGCUCUGUGCCCCCGUGUCCCCAGCAGCACGCCCUCUCCAAGCGCCGUGCGUGGCCCUGGCUGCGGCGGUGCUCCCUGCAUGACGGCGCGGUAGCUAUGACAACGUGGCAGCAUUGAGCUGGUGACAUCUAUUAGCAGGGCAUGACCACUGUGGUUUUGAUCCCUUUUUGCUGUGAAGAACAGAAGGGACCUCGCAGACAGAGCUGGUUUCCAAAUUUGUGUGUUCUGGGACUUCAAGGCCGCGUAGGAGGCCCCCAGCCCCACGAGGAUGCUCUCGUUUCUGCAGGAGCAGGCUGGAAGGCCCGGCCGUGAGGCUGUUUCAGGGAUGCUCCCUGUUUGUGUCCCAGGCUGGUACGUGACCCACACGCAGGGAAUGGUGUGAGCGGCUGAGAGAGGGAUGGAUUUGGGGUUGUGGCUGCAGGGAGCUGUGCACGAUCGCUCCAGCCUGACCCCCAGCUGGUGAAGGAGGAGGGGGGGACAUGUCCUGGAGCAGGAGCCUGGCUCUCACUGCCUGCUGAGAGGCAUCUCGUCCCCUGCAGACACGUUUCUCAGAGUGCUGUCAUCCUGACUGGGAGCUGUGUGCCCGCCAGGCUCAGGGACUUCAAGACAGGUUUGUCCCCAGGGAGAUCCUGCCCAGAGGCUGCCGUGUCUCCCCUGGGCCACCUCCUCUGGUGUCACACACAGCACAGCCUGCCAGGAGUUGGCGUCAGCUUUUGCUCCAGGCUGGGUUUGGCCUUGCGCUGAUCCGUGGCAUUCGCUGUCACACGCGUGGCACAGAGACUCUGCCUGGGGCAGGCAAGCAGCCUUGGCUCUGGGCAGCCUCGGGAUGCGUCGAGUGGUUCAUCAUUUUGCUGAGCUUGCCAAAGACUUCAGGGCUGUAAGGGGUUGUGCUCUGUGUUUGUAUAAAGAGGGGACCAAAAAGUGUGCACAAGGCUGUGUGCAGAGCCACUGCACAGCACAGGCAGCAGAAAUCAGGCAGCGUUCAAUGUGCUGGACCAAAGAAAGCUUCCUGUGGCUCUGCUCUGGAGCUGGGCUUUGUCAUUUGUGUUUGGGGUGCUCAGGGGGACCUUCCCCUUAGGGCAAACUUGUGGCUCCUAAAGGCUGUGCUUGUACCCCGGCCAUCCCCUCAGCAGAACCCUCCUCCAGGGCUGCCUGCUUGCUCCGUGCUUGCAGGGACCCUUGAGGUGCUGUAAAACCCCCGGCGUGGUGGUUGUCCACACCACUGCUUGUGGAGGGGCUGUGAGCACGGGGAAGGACGCAAGGAGAGCCAAGCUGUGCUGGGCCAGGGCUCUGCCAGUAUCUUUCUGCCAGCAGUGUGCACAGAGGGUGCUUAACAAGACCACGUAGGAAGCACCUUCACCCUCACAGCUUCUAGUGGCCACUGGUUUGGAACUUUCUUGACAAGACCACCAGCUCCCGUAGUUCUCUGCUCCACAAAUCUGUCUAAUUUUGUUCUAAAACCGUUUAGGCUUUCGGCUUCAACCACAUAGGCUGCAAGCGAGUUCCACAGUGGAGCUGUGUAGCAUAAACUGAUUUUCCUUCGGUGUGUUUUAAUGCUGGUGUCUGCCAACCAUGUGGGAUACUCUGCAGGUCGUUACGAGAGGCACUGCGAGGUGCUCAGUGAAGCCUUCUCCCUGCAGAUGCUGUGAUGGCUUUGGGCUUUAUGGAAGGAAAAAAUGUUCCAUUACUGAGCAGAGCACAUUCAAACAGUCUGCUUGUGUCUGAAAUCAAAGGCUCAAGGAGCAGUGGUGGGAAGAGACCUUCAGAAGGCUCCAGGUCAACCUGCUGCCGGUGUGCUGCUUAAACUGCCAGCCUGACCGAGGGAGACACAGCAACAGAGAUUUUUACACCCAGACGUUAUCCGUGCCUGAGUAAUGGAGUGCUGCCCAGACACAUCCCGACUCUCUUUCAUCACUGCGAGACUGCAUCUGCUCCUCUGGCUCACAGAGCUGACAUCUGUGAAGAUUAAUAUUUUAGAGGUCUCAUACAUUAUUCGUUCUCCAUCCAGAGAGGCCGUAGCACCACGCUUUCCUCCCCUCUCCUCUGUCCUUCCCGUCAGGUCGUGCUCCACCUCCUGUUUGUUCUGGCGCUGGGGCAGGGUGCUGGCAGCCCGUGUGUUUAGCCACCUCCGUAAGGUUUGGUUCUAUUUUGAGCUGGUGGAAUAAAACCUGAAGUGUAGCCCAGCAUAUCUUCGGUGGUCUGGGUGGUGGGAAUAGUAAAGCUUGUCAGAAUGUUCCCUGUAACGUCUUUGAAUCCAAAAUGUUUAAACGAUUUUGUUUAAAAUUUUAUAUUUCCCCAUGAGACUUCUUUUUCCUGCAGUUCUCAAAAUUAUUCCAUUUUGGCUUUAAAAUAUCUCCUUAUUUUAAUUCUUUGACAUUUAAAAGAUGAUGUUCCACGUUGAAACCAAAUGCAACUUCUCAUUGUGAUUGGGUCCAACCGCCAGGUUCGCUGUUUGGUUUUGCUUGUCAGAAAGCACAGUGCUCAAUCUGGCGCUGGAGCAGAACAGAAAGCUGCGUCUCCCGGGGAGAAGGCAUUUUCAUCCACCACAACUUCUGGGAGAGGAAAGACAAAUGUUUUGGGAAGGGGUGAAAAAGCUCCGCUGCCGCAGAAGGGCCUUGGGAGAACCAACACGCGGCCCGCAGCCUCCCUGGGCCUCUCUGUGGCAGCCCCCAGCCCGGGCUCCGCGUCCUCUCCCAGGCACCUCAGCACAGGGGCUGGGGGCAGCGUCGCAGAGACCCCGCUCCGAAGGUGUCAGCACCGAGCUGCGAGGUGUGCAGCUGGGCGCUCGCUGCUCUUGGUGUCAGCUGCUGCAGUCUGCCCCGGGAGGUGUCAUGUAGUCCCCGUGGAGCUUUCUGUGCUGCAUCUCCUGGGAACGGUUAGAAAAAUGAGGGUCAGAAAAUCCUCCUUUGGGUGAGAGGGAGCGGUCAGAGGGGAGUGACAGGAGGCUGGGUACGGGCUGCUGGGAGCCUGAGGCUCUGAGCUUGAGCCGCGAGUGAAAGAUUUUGGGUUUCAGUAGAAGCACUGACCUUCUACUUUAAAAACAAACAAUCUCAGAGGAAAUAACCUCAGUCCUUUGGUGCUGUGGAAGAAUGGUUGUGUAAACUGUCCUCCUGUCUUUGGUCACAUCCUUGGUGUCACAGCAUCAGCCAGUCUUUCAGCUCUGGAGAGCAACUGCACCGCCUGAGAGUGCGGUGUGAGGGUUUGGGAGCCAGACCUGUGAUCACAGCGGAGGUUUCCAACCUGAGCAUUAAAUGAUAAAAAAUAAAUAAAAAAAUCCCA